GACGAACGCUGGCGGCGUGCUUAACACAUGCAAGUCGAACGGAAAGGCCCUGCUCUUGUGGGGUGCUCGAGUGGCGAACGGGUGAGUAACACGUGAGUAACCUGCCCUUGACUUUGGGAUAACUUCAGGAGACUGCGGCUAAUACCGGAUAGGAGCUCCUGCUGCAUGGGGGGGGUUGGAAAGUUUCGGCGGUUGGGGCUGGACUGGCGGCUUAUCCGCUGGUUGGUCGGGUAGUGGCUUACCAGGGCUUUGACGGGUAGGCGGCCUGGGAGGGUGAACGGCCACAUGGGGCCUGCGGUAGGGCCCAGAAGCCUACGUGCGGCAGCAGGCGGGAACAUUGCACAAUAGGCCCAAGCCUGAUGUGGCAACGCUGCGUGCGUGAUGACGGCCUUCGAGUUGUAAACCGCUGUCGCCGGUGCCGAAGAGGGAGUGACGGUAACUGGUAAAGAAGCACCGGCUAACUACGUG
rnacentral:rRNA from 1 species